GUAGUCUGCCAUACGCAGGAAGACCCGCUGAACUGAAGCAUCUCAUUAAGCGGAGGAAAAGAAACUAACUAGGAUUCCCUUAGUAAAGGCGAUCGAAAAGGGAACAGCCCAACGUCUUAAUCCCGCAAGGGAAAUGUAGUCGGUUCACCUAUUGCACUGGUCUAAGUCAGAUGGAAUGCUGCGCGAUUCAGAGUAAAAGCCUCGUAUGACCAACCGCAAGCUUACGAUGGACCGGGGAGAGUCGGAUACUUUGAGAGUAGUGUCUUAAGGGGGUGGUAUGUCCCAUCCAAGGCUAAAUAACGUGAGGAGACCGAUAGAUUACAAGUAGUGUGAACGAAAGAUGAAAAGAACUCUAAAACAGAGGGUGAAAAGUUCCUGAACUUGCUUAGGGUUAAGGCUAUUUAUAGUACCCGUCUUGAAACACGGAUUAGGGAGUUUAUCUGUAGUGCGAGUCUUUGCACGUUAACUGUAAAGGCGUAGAGAAAGCAACUGGCGUUUGCAUGGCUACUGAGCAUUACUGAUAGGACCCGAAAGGUGGUGAACUUUGCCUGCACAGGUUGAAGUCAGGGGAAACUCUGAUGGAGGACCGUACGGGUUAUUGAUGUGCAAAUCAUUUUUCUGAUGUAGGUAAAGGUGCGAAAGACUCAUCGAACCACCUAAUAGCUGGUUUCCUCCGAAGUUUCCCUCAGGAUAGCUGUAAUGCAUUUAGUUAAGGGGAGUAGAGAUAUGGGUAGAGGUGCAGGGAGCCUUCGGGUUCUCAACUUAUUUCCAAACUUCGAACCUCCUUGUUAGGCAUUUACCUAACUGGAAAUGCUUAAAUGAAUUAGCGUUACA
rnacentral:ncRNA from 1 species